CAUUUGCUUUGUCGCUUGAUGCGCAAGGUUGCAAAAAAAUGUGUUAUUACAAGUGAAAAAUGUUCUGAAGAACAUUCUCUUCUUUCCAAGCCUUUUGAGACAACCCACGUGAGGUUGUAAUAAUACAGCUAUGAUUAGUUGUAAAUGGAUGGAACAUAAUGAUGUCACCCUUAUUUCUUUGUAGUUUCACCAGAAUGUUCUCAAGAACAUUCUUUCUUUGUAAAACAAUUUUUCUUCUUUCUUUAAGAACACAUGAUGUAAUAAUCCAGCUGUGAUCUUGUGUUAAA
rnacentral:lncRNA from 1 species